AGAGAAAGAACACACACAUGAGCUGAACACUGAGUGAUGUGUGAUGAGGAUGUGAAUGAUGGUCAUUAUCAAUAGGGCUGAGUGAUGUGUGAUGAGGAUGUGAAUGAUGGUGGUGGUGUUACCAAGUGUAAUGGCAGGAGAAGUAGUAACAGUGAAAUGCUCUUUAGUCAUCAGGAUGAAGGAUCACAGCUGUACAGGAGUGUACUCACAGGAGAGGGAUGUUAGUGGAAGGGAGGAUCAUCACUGACCAUUCUCAUGCAUUUAUAUCCCUCUUCCUCUUUAUAUCUCUCUUCAUCCCUCCAUCCAUCCAUCUGUCUCUUGAUGCUUAUGAUAGUGUGUGUGUGUGUGUG